UACGUAGGGCGCAAGCGUUGUCCGGAAUUAUUGGGCGUAAAGAGCUCGUAGGCGGCCUGUUGCGUCCGCUGUGAAAACCCGGGGCUUAACCCCGGGCUUGCAGUGGAUACGGGCAGGCUGGAGGCAGGCAGGGGAGAACGGAAUUCCCGGUGUAGCGGUGAAAUGCGCAGAUAUCAAGAGGAACACCAGAGGCGAAGGCGGCUACCUGGACAAUUGCUGACGCUCAGGCACGAAAGCGUGGGGAGCAAAAGGG
rnacentral:rRNA from 1 species